AAAAAUAAAAUAAAAAUAGUAAAAAGUAAACAUAAAAGGUUUUUUUUUUUUUUUUUAU
rnacentral:ribozyme from 1 species